CGGCGUGCUUAACACAUGCAAGUCGAACGGAAAGGCUCCAGCUUGCUGGAGUACUCGAGUGGCGAACGGGUGAGUAACACGUGGGCAAUCUGCCCUGCACUCUGGGAUAAGCCUGGGAAACUGGGUCUAAUACUGGAUAGGACCUUUCUCCUCAUGGGGUUUGGUGGAAAGUUUUUCGGUGCAGGAUGAGCCCGCGGCCUAUCAGCUUGUUGGUGGGGUAAUGGCCUACCAAGGCGACGACGGGUAGCCGGCCUGAGAGGGUGAUCGGCCACAUUGGGACUGAGAUACGGCCCAGACUCCUACGGGAGGCAGCAGUGGGGAAUAUUGCACAAUGGGCGGAAGCCUGAUGCAGCGACGCCGCGUGAGGGAUGACGGCCUUCGGGUUGUAAACCUCUUUCAGUAGGGACGAAGCGUAAGUGACGGUACCUGCAGAAGAAGCACCGGCUAACUACGUGCCAGCAGCCGCGGUAAUACGUAGGGUGCGAGCGUUGUCCGGAAUUACUGGGCGUAAAGAGCUCGUAGGCGGUUUGUCACGUCGUCUGUGAAAUCCUAGGGCUUAACCCUGGACGUGCAGGCGAUACGGGCUGACUUGAGUACUACAGGGGAGACUGGAAUUUCUGGUGUAGCGGUGGAAUACACAGAUAUCAGGAAGAACACCGAUGGCGAAGGCAGGUCUCUGGGUAGUAACUGACGCUGAGGAGCGAAAGCAUGGGUAGCGAACAGG
rnacentral:rRNA from 1 species